AUUGAACGCUGGCGGCAUGCCUUACACAUGCAAAUCGAACGGUAACGGGCCUUCGGGUGCCGACGAGUGGCGCACGGGUGAGUAAUACAUCGGAACGUGCCCGAUCGUGGGGGAUAACGAGGCGAAAGCUUUGCUAAUACCGCAUACGAUCUACGGAUGAAAGCAGGGGACCGCAAGGCCUUGCGCGGACGGAGCGGCCGAUGGCAGAUUAGGUAGUUGGUGGGAUAAAAGCUUUCCAAGCCGACGAUCUGUAGCUGGUCUGAGAGGAUGAUCAGCCACACUGGGACUGAGACACGGCCCAGACUCCUACGGGAGGCAGCAGUGGGGAAUUUUGGACAAUGGGCGCAAGCCUGAUCCAGCCAUGCCGCGUGCAGGAUGAAGGCCUUCGGGUUGUAAACUGAUUUUGUAUGGAACGAAAAGCCUUCUUUUAAUACAGGAGGGUCAUGACGGUACCGUAAGAAUAAGCACCGGCUAACUACGUG
rnacentral:rRNA from 1 species